CUGUUUCUCCAUCCGCCGCCACCACACCUCGCCUCUCCUCUGCUCGCCCCGUCCUCUGCCUCAACCUCCCCGCCUCGAAGCGACGAUGACGGCCCGAGAUCCAUGGCGACAGCGGCUGCAGCGGCCCGAUGGAAGGGGCGGCCAAUCCUAGCCGCUGUGGCGCGCCUCAGCUGCUCACAACCCAUGACCUGGGCCAUGGAUCUACGGCAGGGACCUCCCUCCUCCGUCUCCCAGGCCGCGCAACUGCCUCGCCAUCCGGAGAUUUGGAGCAGCAAGGGCCGGAUGAGGAGAGGACGACGACCGUGACCCGAGCUGGACCUCGCCGGCGACGUCGACACCCGCACAAGAUCAGCGGGAGCUCUCCACCUCUCCACUUCGAUGGAUGGCAACGAUCGGGACCCCACGCUCGAGCCAGAUGAGCUCGAUGGCUAGGAGCCCCGACAACCAUGAUUCCCCAGAGAACAAGAAGGUCUAUCUCAUGGACACCCAGAUUUUGUAUGCAAUUUUCUCAACACCAUCGCGUUACCCACUGCUGGUGGUAAUUUUGCAUCGCCACUUAUUAAUUUUUUUUAUUAUUGUUACUGUCAAAUACUAAUUCUUCAGCUGUACGCUUGAUAAUUGUUGAUGAUCUCUUAGGGUUGCAAGCGAAAUGUAUCCUUGGGCAAAAUGUCCACGUUCUUAGAUAGGUCCAUUACUGUCUCCUUCAUAGCCUUUUGGUUUUAUUAUUUUCACUAUAUACCUUUUUUUUUCUUAUUCAAGGUAUAUCCAAUUUCUUAAUGCUCUAAUAGGGUAGGUUCUGGGUUGGUUAACCUCAUUGAAGCAAAUUGUUUGUACCCAAAGGUGCCAUUCUGUCAAAUAUUGACAAGUUGAUUCAUGCCUACUUACAAGGCUGGAAAAGUAAUGUAUUACUGGACCUAUCCCAGAAUUGUUGAUUCAUGCCUACUUACAAGGCUGGAAAAGUAAUGUAUUACUGGACCUAUCCCAGAAUUGUUGAUUCAUUUCGUGGAGGAUUUUGUAAACUCCAAUGUUAUAGAUGCUUGCAGAUGACUGCAUAUAUUGAUUCAUAUGUGCACAUGAAGCACUUUGGAAA